AUAGAUAUAGAUAGUGGGUAUAGAUAGUGGGUAUAGAUAGUGGGUAUAGAUAGUGGGUAUAGAUAGUGGGUAUAGAUAGAUAUAGAUAGUGGGUAUAGAUAGUGGGUAUAGAUAGAUAUAGAUAGUGGGUAUAGAUAGAUAUAGAUAGUGGGUAUAGAUAGAUAUAGAUAGUGGGUAUAGAUAGAGAUAGAGGGUAUAGAUAGAUAUAGAUAGUGGGUAUAGAUAGAUAUAGAUAGUGGGUAUAGAUAGAUAUAGAUAGUGGGUAUAGAUAGAUAUAGAUAGUGGGUAUAGAUAGAUAUAGAUAGUGGGUAUAGAUAGAGAUAGAGGGUAUAGAUAGAUAUAGAUAGUGGGUAUAGAUAGAUAUAGAUAGUGGGUAUAGAUAGAUAUAGAUAGUGGGUAUAGAUAGAUAGAGAUAGAUAGGAGAAGAUAGAAGACUAGAGAGAUGUGAUCUGAAUCCUUCAGAUUUCCUUUCAUAUGUAGAUGAUGGGCAAGGCUGAAGGACAACAAGUCAGCCUUUAGGGCAAGGCUGAAGGACAACAAGUCAGCCUUUAGGUCAAGGCUGAAGGACAACAAGUCAGCCUUUGGGUCAAGGCUGAAGGACAACAAGUCAGCCUUUAGGUCAAGGCUGAAGGACAACAAGUCAGCCUUUAGGUCAAGGCUGAAGGACAACAAGUCAGCCUUUAGGUCAAGGCUGAAGGACAACAAGUCAGCCUUUAGGUCAAGGCUGAAGGACAACAAGUCAGCCUUUAGGUCAAGGCUGAAGGACAACAAGUCAGCCUUUAGGUCAAGGCUGAAGGACAACAAGUCAGCCUUUAGGUCAAGGCUGAAGGACAACAAGUCAGCCUUUAGGUCAAGGCUGAAGGACAACAAGUCAGCCUUUAGGUCAAGGCUGAAGGACAACAAGUCAGCCUUUAGGUCAAGGCUGAAGGACAACAAGUCAGCCUUUAGGUCAAGGCUGAAGGACAACCUUUUCAAUACACAUUUAAGGAAGUAGAGAAUGCCGUAAUUUAGAGAGAGACACAUGGCCAGAAGCCUGGAGGAGAACAGUCAUUUUAUUCUACUUCAGUCUUGAUAUUACACUCUCACAUUGAAUACACAUUUAUAGAAGACAGCGUCAUGCCAUGGUUCUCUUUUUUAGACUCGAAAACAAUUCCU